GAUGAACGCUGGCGGUAUGCUUAACACAUGCAAGUCGAACGGUCACUUCGGUGAUAGUGGCGGACGGGUGAGUAACGCGUGAGAAUCUGUCUUCAGGUCGGGGACAACAGUUAGAAAUGACUGCUAAUACCGGAUGCGCCUUUGGGUGAAAGAUUUAUUGCCUGAAAAAGAGCUCGCGUCAGAUUAGCUAGUAGGUGGUGUAAGAGACUACCUAGGCUCCGAUCUGUAGCUGGUCUGAGAGGACGAUCAGCCACACUGGAACUGAGACACGGUCCAGACUCCUACGGGAGGCAGCAGUGGGGAAUUUUCCGCAAUGGGCGAAAGCCUGACGGAGCAAUACCGCGUGAGGGACGAAGGCUUUUGGGUCGUAAACCUCUUUUCUCAAGGAAGAUGAUGACGGUACUUGAGGAAUAAGCAUCGGCUAACUCUGUG
rnacentral:rRNA from 1 species